rnacentral:tRNA from 1 species
GUGGUGGUUCAGUGGUGGAAUUUCUUACCUUCUAUGUAGGAGACCCAGGUUCAAUUCCUGGCCAACACA